GUCACUUCUCAGCCUUUUUGCUAAGAUCAAGUGUAUUAUCUGUUCUUAUAAGGUUACAAAAUGACACUCAAAAUAGAGGAAACUGCCUUUACUUCUUUGUAAGAGAUUAAGUCAGAGUAGAUGUAACCUUUCUUCUUUGCCUGUGAGUUUGAUAUUCCUUUUCUAUUUUUUGCAUAAUUGAGAAAAAAGUGAACUAUCU